GUCUCUUUGAAGAAGAGGUAUAAGGAGUCUGGCCUGCCCGGUGACAUAGUUUAACGGCUGCAGUAUCCUGACUGUGCAAAGGUAGCAUAAUAACUUGCCUUUUAAUUGGAGGAUAGAAUCAAUGGCUUGACGAGAGCGAAACUGUCUUUUUUAUUUUUACUAGAAUUUAUCUUUUAAGUUAAAAGACUUAGAUGGAGCUAAAAGACGAUAAGACCCUAUUGAGCUUAAAAAAAAUGAGGUGAUUAUUCGUUAUCAAUAAAAUUGACAAUAACUUUAAAAGAUUUUGGUUGGGGCGACCGCGGAGUACAUAAAACCUCCGUAUUAGAAAAUUAACCUCUAUUUUUGAGCCAUAUUUUGUGAUAAAAGGAAUUAGUUACCAUAGGGAUAACAGCGCACUACUUUUAGGGAGACCGUAUUUUUAAGAGAGAUCGCGACCUCGAUGUUGGAUUAAGGUAAACUAAAAGGUGCAGAAGCUUUUUAAGUUAGUCUGUUCGACUAUUAAACCCUU
rnacentral:rRNA from 1 species